GAAGUUGGAUUCGCUAGUAAUCGCGCAUCAGCCAUGGCGCGGUGAAUACGUUCCCGGGCCUUGUACACACCGCCCGUCAAGCCAUGGGAGCCGGGGGUGCCUGAAGUUCGUGACCGCAAGGAGCGACCUAGGGCAAAACUGGUGACUGGGGCUAAGUCGUAACAAGGUACC
rnacentral:rRNA from 1 species